AGAGUUUGAUCCUGGCUCAGGACGAACGCUGGCGGUGCGCUUAAUGCAUGCAAGUCGAACGGGCAAAGGGGCUUCGGCCUCGGCGCUAGUGGCAGACGGCUGAGUAACACGUAAGUGAUCUGCCCCGGAGAGGGGGAUAACCCGGAGAAAUCCGGCCUAAUACCCCAUACGUUCAGGUGGCUACGGCCAUGUGAAGAAAGGUUUACGUCGCUCUGGGAGGAGCUUGCGGCCUAUCAGGUAGUUGGUGGGGUAAAGGCCUACCAAGCCGAAGACGGGUAACCGAUGUGAGAGCAUGAUCGGUCAGAGGGGGACUGAGACACGGCCCCCACUCCUACGGGAGGCAGCAGCAGGGAAUCUUGCGCAAUGGGCGAAAGCCUGACGCAGCGACACCGCGUGGGGGAAGAAGGCCUCAGGGUUGUAAACCCCUUUUCUGUGGGAAGAGAUAGGACGGUACCACAGGAAUAAGCAUCGGCUAACUACGUGCCAGCAGCCGCGGUAAUACGUAGGAUGCAAGCGUUGUCCGGAUUUACUGGGCGUAAAGGGCCCGUAGGGGGUCGCUUACGGGCGUCGUGCAAGCCCCGUGCUCAACGCGGGGAGGUCGGCGCCGACGGGGCGACUAGAGGCUGGGCGAGGCGCGGGGAACGGCCGGGGGAGUGGUGGCAUACGUAGAGCCCGGUCGGAACACCGGUAGCGAAGGCGCCGCGCUGGACCAGUCCUGACCCUGAGGGGCGAAAGGGUGGGGCGCGAACGGACUUAGAUACUCCGGUAGUCCACCCCCUGACCGAUGGCCACUGGGUGUCGCGGGUAUCGACCCCUGCGGUGCCGGCGCCGACGCAGUAAGUGGCCCGCCUGGGGACUACGGUCGCAAGACUAAAACUCAAAGGAAUUGACGGGGGCCCGCACAAGCAGCGGAGCGUGUGGUUCAAUUCGACGCAACGCGCAGAACCUUACCUGGGCUGGACUCCGCGGUUGUAGGGCGCCGAAAGGUGCCCGACCCCUUGGGGAGCCGCGCCAGAUGCUGCAUGGCUGUCGUCAGCUCGUG
rnacentral:rRNA from 1 species